GAUGAACGCUAGCGGCAGGCUUAAUACAUGCAAGUCGUGGGGCAGCAUGAGUAGCAAUACUUGAUGGCGACCGGCAAACGGGUGAGGAGCACGUACACAACCUUCCUUCAAGCGGGGAAUAGCCCAGAGAAAUUUGGAUUAAUACCCCAUAAUAUAUUUGAUAAGGCAUCUUAUUAAUAUUAAAGCUUCGGCACUUGAUGAUGGGUGUGCGGCUGAUUAGAUAGUUGGCGGGGUAACGGCCCACCAAGUCUACGAUCAGUAGCUGAUGUGAGAGCAUGAUCAGCCACACGGGCACUGAGACACGGGCCCGACUCCUACGGGAGGCAGCAGUAAGGAAUAUUGGACAAUGGACGAAAGUCUGAUCCAGCCAUGCCGCGUGAAGGAUUAAGGUCCUCUGGAUUGUAAACUUCUUUAUAUGGGACGAAAAAGGGCAUUCUUGUUCACUUGACGGUACCAUAUGAAUAAGCACCGGCUAACUCCGUGCCAG
rnacentral:rRNA from 1 species